GGGCAAGGGGCGGGGCCGUCCCGGGAGACCGCCCCGGGGGCGGGGCUGCCUCGCCCCUUCCUGCUCCGCUCCUCGCGUCGCGGCCCCGCCCCCGCGGCCGCUGCGCGCCGGACGGGGCCCAAGCGGGGGUCGGAGCCUCAAGGCUGCGGCGGCGACGAGCUCCGAGCGGGACACUGAACGGCCCGUAUGCGCAAGAUAAGCACGGACUGAAUCAGGUACACGCACCUGCCGGGGACGCACUGACCGAGGUGCGGACGGCGGUACCAGGACAGGUAAAGCCGCGAACACUCGGACCUAAGAACUUGACAGGUACACCCUGCCUGAUGAAGCUACGUACGGCCAGGUGCGCAUCGAGUGAAUCAGGGUGAGAACCUACUUCUUCAUAAAGAGAAUUUGGAGGGAGCUUUUUGUUCUGCGGGGACAACAUCUGGAUUUGAAUACAUCCAUGCUCAAAAGGAGAUUUCUCAUAAUGGACCCAACUGAAAGCACUCAGAGUACAAGGACCGGUGAGCUUUCAAAAGGAGACACUUCGGGAGACUCGCCAGGGGCCCUCGUAUCCCCGGCAGCGCGAGUUUUGGAGGUCAGUGGAGGGCUCUCGCAUCAUGCAUGUAACUUUCAUACUCAAAAACUUACCUUCAUCCUGCAUCCCUCACCCCCCUGCAGAAACUUGGGGCUUGAAUUCAUUUAAAAACAUUUGCGGUUUCAGAAGCCUUCUUUUUAUUAUGAAGCUGCCAAGGAGAUCUUAGAAUGAAAGGCAUUUUUAGAGAUGAGAAAGAAGGAAGCCAGGCCAAGGCUGGGCCGGCUCUCAGCCGUGGGUCUGUAAAGGUGACACGUGGGACAUGGCCACCUGCAGACCCUGCAGGCGGCUGGGCAGAGGCACCCACAGGGACCUGGGUUUGAAUCCCUGCUCUGCCAGUCAUUUCCACAGCGAUCUUGGGGGAAGUUGUGUAACCUCUGGGCCCUGCGACGCCCUUUCCUGGAGCCUGGAGCUGGAACGAAGCCCCUUGGAGCCCUGACAUCAGAGGUGACGUUAGUCUUCGCAGGCAAUGACUCGGCGGAAUGUGAUGCCACUCCCUAACCCGUGUCCGGACUGGCAGAGUGUGUGCCGCCUCCCACCAGGUGGUCUGGCUGCUUUGAUGGAUCUCCUAACUUCUCUGCACCCCAGAGCCCUCAGUGCUGGCCAGACCUUCACUCACUCCUGGGUGACAACCCCGUUCUCAGAUAGUGGGUCCCACAGGCUGGCCUGUGGCGCCCCCUGCUGGUGACUGCAGGGAGAAGGAUGCCCUAAGCCAAAGGAAGUCCUUCCUGGGGUCUAAUCUCUACCUUUUGCAUGAUGAGGCAGCUGAGGUGGCUCGCUUUCUCCUCCACCCCAGAAAAUAAAGUCAUAUGGAGUCCAAGCAGUUAUUUUUCUCUGCUAGGCCAGUCCAUCAUAAGCCCCAAAUGGAGGGGCCCCUGGAAUGAGCCCUAUGCAGGCCUUCUAUGGACAAGGGCCCUUCAGGGAGUAGGGCUGUGGUGAGGAUGGGGUGCAUGUGU
rnacentral:lncRNA from 1 species